rnacentral:tRNA from 3 species
GGGGAUAUAGCACAGUUGGUAGCGCGAUACGUUCGCAACGUAUAGGUCAGGGGUUCGAAUCCCCUUAUCUCCACCA